rnacentral:lncRNA from 1 species
GCAACACAGAGCAAGAUUUAAACUUGUAUGCUAUUAUUAUUCACAAAAUAAUUUCUCUUUUUGUCCUAAUGGACAGAGAACAUGCUCAAAUAAUUUUACAGCAAGCUAACAUGCUCAAAACCAUUUUGAAACAAUUCAUUUGAAAUUUAAACCAUAUUCAUGCAUUCUGUAAAUUGCUUCUGACUAAGAUGUUCAAAACUGAAAAUAGACAGUGCCAAAAUAUUCUACAAGUUGUGACGAUUCCAGAAAGGUGCGGAUCAUAAAUUUUGGACAAACGGUUUAAAAGUUAUGAUGCUUUGAAGUUAUAGGGGCUUUUCUGCAAAAGUGCAAUAUUGAUUCGGCCGAAAAUAAAAACAAAAAGAAAAAGCUUCGCCACGUGGCAUGACGGGGUUGUCCGGGAGCUAGGGUUUUCCCCUGGGCGGCGC